GAUGAACGCUGGCGGCGUGCUUAACACAUGCAAGUCGAACGGUGAAGGCGGAGCUUGCUCUGCUGGAUCAGUGGCGAACGGGUGAGUAACACGUGAGCAAUCUGCCCCUGACUCUGGGAUAAGCGCUGGAAACGGCGUCUAAUACUGGAUACGAGCUGCGAAGGCAUCUUCAGCAGCUGGAAAGAAUUUCGGUCAGGGAUGAGCUCGCGGCCUAUCAGCCUGUUGGUGAGGUAAUGGCUCACCAAGGCGUCGACGGGUAGCCGGCCUGAGAGGGUGACCGGCCACACUGGGACUGAGAGACGGCCCAGACUCCUACGGGAGGCAGCAGUGGGGAAUAUUGCACAAUGGGCGAAAGCCUGAUGCAGCAACGCCGCGUGAGGGAAGACGGCCUGCGGGGUGUAAACCUCUUUUAGCAGGGAAGAAGCGAAAGUGACGGUACCUGCAGAAAAAGCGCCGGCUAACUACGUG
rnacentral:rRNA from 1 species